UCUGGGGGUUUGGCUCUGGGGAAGGGGUUCUGAGGAGGGGGCAGAUUCUCCUGGGGAGGUGGGCUCUGGGGGUGGGGAGCAGGUUUUCCUGGGUGGGCCUCUCCUGGGACCAACUCUCCCUGGCCGCAGUCUCUCUUGGCCACGAUUCUUUCCUCCCAAGCCGUCCCUUGGUUUAAGGUGUUUUUCCUGGCCAUCCUGUCUUGACUAGAACUUUACCUACACCUUCCUUUUUGGUUUAGGCAAAUUAUAGUAUCUAAAACUAAAGUCUCAGCUCUGUGUCUUUGACAUAUAAAUGUUCUACCAUGUCUUCUCUGGAAUCUGAUAACUAUCUAUCUCUUUAAAAUGCAAGUCUAGGGAGAUGACUCAUCAGAAAAAGAAGAAAAAAGAGGUAUUUGGAAAUUGUGCAAAUUAAAGCAGCCCCUGAUGUCAAAGUCUACACAUUCCUGAGUGAGUCAGUUC
rnacentral:lncRNA from 1 species